CACAGAGGGACAGACUCAAACUCCCAGCAUGCACUGCUCCAUCACCCGUCCACUUCAGUGUUUAUAUCUCCUCACUUUGUUACAUUUGUCUUUACAUACAUAGUGUCUCUAGUGGACAUAGUGUCCUCUAGUGGACAUGGUGUCUCUAGUGGACAUAGUGUCUCUAGUGGACAUGGUGUCCUCUAGUGGACAUAGUGUCUCUAGUGUCUCUAGUAGUGGACAUGUUGUGUCUCACCCUCCUCUGCUGGGAGUCCAUCCAGAACACGUUGGGCUGUUUGUGUCUCUAGUGUCUCUAGUAGAGGACAUAGUGUCUCUAGUGUCCUCUAGAGGACAGUGUGUCUCACCCUCCUCUGCUGGGAGUCCAUCCAGAACACGUUGGGCUGUUUGUGUCGGAGGACGCCGCUUUUAGAGACCAGCAGCCGGUCUCCGCUCCGCCUCAGACCCGGACCAC